AAGUCGUAACAAGGUUUCCGUAGGUGAACCUGCGGAAGGAUCAUUACAGAGUUCUUGCCCUUACGGGUAGAUCUCCCACCCUUGAUAUCUAUUCUCUUGUUGCUUUGGCGGGACGCAUCUUGCCACAGGCUUCGGCUUGUGAGUGCCCGCCAGAGACCCAACCAAAACCUGUUUAUGUGUCGUCUGAGUACUAUAUAAUAGUUAAAACUUUCAACAACGGAUCUCUUGGUUCUG
rnacentral:misc_RNA from 1 species